rnacentral:tmRNA from 1 species
CUGGAUUUGACAGCGGGUUGGAGUGGUAUGUAAGCAUGCAGUGCGUCGGUGAUUGGCACUUUAAUCCCAGUUAUCAAGCUAUUAUCUGGCAACAAUACUUAUGCUCUCGCAGCGUAAUCGAAGCACAGUAGAUUACCUUUAUUUCUGCCACAGUGGCGGAAACGGGAUGUCGCUCAAAAGCUCUUGUUCCGAAGCGUUUGGUAAAGCGGCACAGCAAAAUCGGGAAUAGGUGGAGUCUUGCUUCGCGGCUCUUCCGAAAUUUUAGAAGCUAAGGUAUAGGUUGGUGGCUCUGGUCUUGCCUAUACUCGAAAACCGAAGGCAGAGAUAAGCAUGUAGAAAGCAUAUGGCUUCCUCGUUUGGACGAGGGUUCGACUCCCUCCAGGUCCA